AACCAAAUCUGGCUAUGAAAUUUAAAGAGUCAAUGCAAUAAAAAUCAAAAUUCAAUGUGUAAUAGGAGAUACUGAUAAAUCCAGUACAAAAUAAAGGAAAUUCCAAUGAAUUUCAGCAGCUGGUUAUAAUCAGUAUCAAAUACAAAAAAAAUCCAAAGAAUUUUAGCAUUUUGAAGUUAUGUAUAAUGUACAUCUCAAAGGAUGGUUAUUCAUCCAUUCAGUGUUCUUAACGGUCGUUAUUUUUCAGUUUGUUUGUUAUUCAAUUGGAAAUUAAACGUCUUCUAUUGGGCAGAUGGAACAACAAUUGCUAAGCAAAUUGUUCCCCCGCUGGGGGACGAGACGCAACAAUGGAAAAUCACCUUUAUCAGUGAUACGUAUGUGUUAAGAUGUUAAGAUGGAUGUGUUUUCGAUUUCCAAGGAACAUCGCUUCAUCAUGCUGGAUCCAAUUCCCUUGGGUCCACCGGUUUGAUGCUUUCUAUUACCGGAAAAAGGUACAGGCCAUCAUCCAGCUAACAGAAACCGCACGCAGAACUGGAAACGACCGAUUUCAAACAAAGAUGAGACGGAAAUCGGAGCUCUUCCGAUUCCAGUUUGAAGAAUUCAAGCUGAAACAAAACUGGAGAUUGAAAAGAUUCCUUUGUAACUGAGCUACCAAUGCUACCAUUCAGCUGGCUGAAGAUUUGUGCACCCGGGAAUGAACAUAUAGCAGUGAUGAAGCAGGGCCAGGAAGUCCCGGGACCGAAUACAAUCUACGUCCUAUGUGUCAAUGUUCCGAACGAUUUCGGAGGAGUUGUAUUUGCAACUUACAAUACAGAAAAAUUUAAUUUGAUUCUAAAGCUAACACUGUAAAUUACCUAACUCACUGAUUGUAUCACAUACGCCAACAAACUGUUGUAAAUAGUACCUACUUUCUUAAAAAAUAAAAUUAAGGAAAACAAAUUA